CAGCCGCCGCGGUAAAACCAGCACCUCAAGUGGUCAGGAUGAUUAUUGGGCCUAAAGCAUCCGUAGCCGGCUCUGUAAGUUUUCGGUUAAAUCUGUACGCUUAACGUACAGGCUGCCGGGAAUACUGCAAAGCCAGAGAGUGGGAGAAGUAGACGGUACUCGGUAGGAAGUGGUAAAAUGCUUUGAUCUAUCGAUGACCACCUGUGGCGAAGGCGGUCUACUAGAACACGUCCGACGGUGAGGGAUGAAAGCUGGGGGAGCAAACCGGAUUAGAUACCCGGGUAGUCCCAGCUGUAAACUAUGCAAACUCAGUGAUGCAUUGGCUUGUGGCCAAUGCAGUGCUGCGGGGAAGCCGUUAAGUUUGCCGCCUGGGAAGUACGUACGCAAGUAUGAAACUUAAAGGAAUUGGCGGGGGAGCAC
rnacentral:rRNA from 2 species